GAAAAACCAAUCAUACAAAUUGCUUAAGCCUUCAUUCCAAGCAAAAUUAAGCUAAUUACAGAAAGUAACUAGUAAGUGGUAGGUUAUCAAAAUGGUGUGCCCAAAAAAUCUGAAGCCACUAAUAUUUGUGUUACUGCUUGUUAUCAUGGCAUCUAAUUUAGCAUCAGGGCAGUGGUGCACCUUGAGAGGUUAUCCAUGCGGUCUGAAUUUAGAUCCAUGUUGCGACGGACUAUUUUGUAGUGCAGCAAUAGUCGGUACUUGUUGUGAAAAUGGUCAUUGGUGGACGAUUGUCUAUAACUGCGAUAAGUGAUGAGCGUUUCUAAGGAUUUAAUCUAUCGAUUGGAUGGAUGGAUGGAUGGAUGGAUGAAAUUGUAGUAUCGAUGUCUUGUUUUUCUUUCUUACUAUUGGGUGUUGUAUCAUUGUCAUUCAUCAAACACGUACGUUAUGUGUGUCUAUGUUAGCAGUGUUACUAGACGAUUUCCCUUCUUUUGCAAUGAAUUUAGCUACAGCAUCGCUGUUCUAGCUGAUUUGUACUGAUACUCCGUAUUAGUUAUAUGCACUACUUAUUUCUGUCUUGUUUGUCGUU